AUGCAAGUCGGACGGGAUCCGUCGGAGAGCUUGCUCGAAGACGGUGAGAGUGGCGCACGGGUGCGUAACGCGUGAGCAACCUACCUCUAUCAGGGGGAUAGCCUCUCGAAAGAGAGAUUAACACCGCAUAACAUAUCUGACCGGCAUCGGUUGGCUAUUAAAUAUUUAUAGGAUAGAGAUGGGCUCGCGUGACAUUAGCUAGUUGGUAGGGUAACGGCUUACCAAGGCGACGAUGUCUAGGGGCUCUGAGAGGAGAAUCCCCCACACUGGUACUGAGACACGGACCAGACUCCUACGGGAGGCAGCAGUAAGGAAUAUUGGUCAAUGGGCGGAAGCCUGAACCAGCCAUGCCGCGUGCAGGAUGACUGCCCUAUGGGUUGUAAACUGCUUUUGUCCAGGAAUAAACCUUUCUACGUGUAGGAAGCUGAAUGUACUGGAAGAAUAAGGAUCGGCUAACUCCGUGCCAGCAGCCGCGGUAAUACGGAGGAUCCGAGCGUUAUCCGGAUUUAUUGGGUUUAAAGGGUGCGUAGGCGGCCUAUUAAGUCAGGGGUGAAAUACGGUGGCUCAACCAUCGCAGUGCCUUUGAUACUGAUGGGCUUGAAUCCAUUUGAAGUGGGCGGAAUAAGACAAGUAGCGGUGAAAUGCAUAGAUAUGUCUUAGAACUCCGAUUGCGAAGGCAGCUCACUAAGCUGGUAUUGACGCUGAUGCACGAAAGCGUGGGGAUCGAACAGGAUUAGAUACCCUGGUAGUCCACGCCCUAAACGAUGAUAACUCGAUGUUGGCGAUAGACAGCCAGCGUCCAAGCGAAAGCGUUAAGUUAUCCACCUGGGGAGUACGCCCGCAAGGGUGAAACUCAAAGGAAUUGACGGGGGCCCGCACAAGCGGAGGAGCAUGUGGUUUAAUUCGAUGAUACGCGAGGAACCUUACCCGGGCUUGAAAGUUAGUGAAGAAUGCAGAGACGCAUUCGUCCUUCGGGACACGAAACUAGGUGCUGCAUGGCUGUCGUCAGCUCGUGCCGUGAGGUGUUGGGUUAAGUCCCGCAACGAGCGCAACCCCUAUGUUUAGUUGCCAGCAUGUAAUGGUGGGGACUCUAAACAGACUGCCUGUGCAAACAGUGAGGAAGGUGGGGACGACGUCAAGUCAUCAUGGCCCUUACGUCCGGGGCUACACACGUGCUACAAUGGAUGGUACAGCGGGCAGCUACAUAGCAAUAUGAUGCUAAUCUCUAAAAGCCAUUCACAGUUCGGAUUGGGGUCUGCAACUCGACCCCAUGAAGUUGGAUUCGCUAGUAAUCGCGUAUCAGCAAUGACGCGGUGAAUACGUUCCCGGGCCUUGUACA
rnacentral:rRNA from 1 species